UACGUAGGGUGCGAGCGUUGUCCGGAAUUACUGGGCGUAAAGCGCACGUAGGCGGAUUGUUAAGUCGGGGGUGAAAUCCUGGAGCUCAACUCCAGAACUGCCUUCGAUACUGGCGAUCUCGAGUUCGGGAGAGGUGAGUGGAACUGCGAGUGUAGAGGUGAAAUUCGUAGAUAUUCGCAAGAACACCAGUGGCGAAGGCGGCUCACUGGCCCGAUACUGACGCUGAGGUGCGAAAGCGUGGGGAGCAAACAGG
rnacentral:rRNA from 1 species